rnacentral:hammerhead_ribozyme from 1 species
GUCCAGCCGACCAGUCUCAAACAAGAGGAAACACGCGUCCUGGAU